UUCCUCGCGUUCAAUGCUUCAGGACCACAAGAUGGUUGCUACAGCUCUAGACCUUCCAUCUGUCUAGUGUGGCGAAAAGUGGGGAAGGCUAGAAUAUCAUGCCAGCUGCAUACCUCCCCUUUCAUGAGGGAAGAAAAAGCCUUCCCACGGGGAUCACAGGGCCCCUGCUAGCUGCAAAGGGGUCUGGGAGAACAGGGAGAGCCUCUCUCACCUGAGCAGUGGACACAAUCCUUCACCAAAGAGUGCAGGUUCUGAUGGCAAGAAAGACAAAGGGGCCACCGGCAGGCUCGUUACCCCAAAGAGCGAGAAGUAGGGGAUGUGAUUACUUACAUCUGUACCAGUUAGAGUGUUGUACACAUAUCCAGCCAAGGUACCUGUGGCCCAGGUCAGGUGACUGGCUUAGCAAUUUCACCUACCUUCCUCUCAGCCCAGAUCCCCAAAUUCUUUGAAUGCUGUUGGGAUGCAGAACAGCAAGUCAGCGAGUGAUUUUUUUUAAUUUAAUUUUUAUGAGUACACAGUAGAUUAUAUAUUUAUGGGGUACAUCAGAUAUUUUGAUACAGAUAUACAAUGUGUCAUAAUCACAUCAGGUUGU
rnacentral:lncRNA from 10 species